rnacentral:rRNA from 1 species
CAGCCGUAAACUAUGCGCGUUAGGUGUACUGGUGACCACGAGUCACCGGGUGCCGAAGGGAAACCGUGAAACGUGCCGCCUGGGAAGUACGGUCGCAAGGCUGAAACUUAAGGAAUUGGCGGGGGAGCACCACAACGGGUGGAGCCUGCGGUUUAAUUGGACUCAACGCCGGAAAUCUCACCGGAUAGGACAGACAUAUGAUAGUCGGGCUGAAGACUCUACUUGAUGAUCUGAGAGGUGGUGCAUGGCGUCAGUGACU